rnacentral:misc_RNA from 1 species
AACUAAAAGGAAGCAAUAGACAUGUCAACAAUGAACAAACUUAGACAGUUCCAAGAAUCAUCAGACCUAAAUCAACAUCAUAAACUCAAUUAAACAUAAAUAGUAGACUCUAAACUCAAAUCCCACCAAAUUCUCAUCAAUUAUCUUCUUACCCAAUUGCCACUUAUCAAUAAAAAGGGAGAAAAACGAACUCCGAUAUCUUCACUGAAU